GGCGGCGUGCCUAAUACAUGCAAGUCGAGCGGACAGAUGGGAGCUUGCUCCCUGAUGUUAGCGGCGGACGGGUGAGUAACACGUGGGUAACCUGCCUGUAAGACUGGGAUAACUCCGGGAAACCGGGGCUAAUACCGGAUGCUUGUUUGAACCGCAUGGUUCAAACAUAAAAGGUGGCUUCGGCUACCACUUACAGAUGGACCCGCGGCGCAUUAGCUAGUUGGUGAGGUAAUGGCUCACCAAGGCAACGAUGCGUAGCCGACCUGAGAGGGUGAUCGGCCACACUGGGACUGAGACACGGCCCAGACUCCUACGGGAGGCAGCAGUAGGGAAUCUUCCGCAAUGGACGAAAGUCUGACGGAGCAACGCCGCGUGAGUGAUGAAGGUUUUCGGAUCGUAAAGCUCUGUUGUUAGGGAAGAACAAGUACCGUUCGAAUAGGGCGGUACCUUGACGGUACCUAACCAGAAAGCCACGGCUAACUACGUGCCAGCAGCCGCGGUAAUACGUAGGUGGCAAGCGUUGUCCGGAAUUAUUGGGCGUAAAGGGCUCGCAGGCGGUUUCUUAAGUCUGAUGUGAAAGCCCCCGGCUCAACCGGGGAGGGUCAUUGGAAACUGGGGAACUUGAGUGCAGAAGAGGAGAGUGGAAUUCCACGUGUAGCGGUGAAAUGCGUAGAGAUGUGGAGGAACACCAGUGGCGAAGGCGACUCUCUGGUCUGUAACUGACGCUGAGGAGCGAAAGCGUGGGGAGCGAACAGGAUUAGAUACCCUGGUAGUCCACGCCGUAAACGAUGAGUGCUAAGUGUUAGGGGGUUUCCGCCCCUUAGUGCUGCAGCUAACGCAUUAAGCACUCCGCCUGGGGAGUACGGUCGCAAGACUGAAACUCAAAGGAAUUGACGGGGGCCCGCACAAGCGGUGGAGCAUGUGGUUUAAUUCGAAGCAACGCGAAGAACCUUACCAGGUCUUGACAUCCUCUGACAAUCCUAGAGAUAGGACGUCCCCUUCGGGGGCAGAGUGACAGGUGGUGCAUGGUUGUCGUCAGCUCGUGUCGUGAGAUGUUGGGUUAAGUCCCGCAACGAGCGCAACCCUUGAUCUUAGUUGCCAGCAUUCAGUUGGGCACUCUAAGGUGACUGCCGGUGACAAACCGGAGGAAGGUGGGGAUGACGUCAAAUCAUCAUGCCCCUUAUGACCUGGGCUACACACGUGCUACAAUGGACAGAACAAAGGGCAGCGAAACCGCGAGGUUAAGCCAAUCCCACAAAUCUGUUCUCAGUUCGGAUCGCAGUCUGCAACUCGACUGCGUGAAGCUGGAAUCGCUAGUAAUCGCGGAUCAGCAUGCCGCGGUGA
rnacentral:rRNA from 1 species